UCCUACGGGAGGCAGCAGUGGGGGAUAUUGCACAAUGGAGGGAACUCUGAUGCAGCGACGCCGCGUGGGUGAAGAAGUAUUUCGGUAUGUAAAGCCCUAUCAGCAGGGAAGAUAAUGACGGUACCUGAGUAAGAAGCCCCGGCUAACUACGUGCCAGCAGCCGCGGUAAUACGUAGGGGGCGAGCGUUAUCCGGAUUUACUGGGUGUAAAGGGAGCGCAGACGGCUGUGGAAGUCAGAUGUGGAAGCCCCGGGCAUAACCCGGGGAGUGCAUUUGAAACUCUAUAGCUAGAGUACUGGAGGGGUGAGCGGAAUUCCUGGUGUAGCGGUGAAAUGCGUAGAUAUCAGGAAGAACACCGGUGGCGAAGGCGGCUCACUGGACAGAGACUGACGUUGAGGCUCGAAAGCGUGGGGAGCAAACAGGAUUAGAUACCCUGGUAGUCC
rnacentral:rRNA from 1 species